ACCUAGCUAGUUUAGAACAUGUGAUUCUUAAUCUCAGGGAUGUGAGUUCAAGCCUCAUGUUGGGCA
rnacentral:tRNA from 1 species